UACGAAGGGGGCUAGCGUUGCUCGGAAUCACUGGGCGUAAAGGGCGCGUAGGCGGAUCUUUAAGUCAGGGGUGAAAGCCCAAGGCUCAACCUUGGAAUUGCCUUUGAUACUGAAGAUCUCGAGACCGGAAGAGGUAAGUGGAACUGCGAGUGUAGAGGUGAAAUUCGUAGAUAUUCGCAAGAACACCAGUGGCGAAGGCGGCUUACUGGUCCGGUACUGACGCUGAGGUGCGAAAGCGUGGGGAGCAAACAGG
rnacentral:rRNA from 1 species